rnacentral:rRNA from 1 species
AUUGAACGCUGGCGGCAGGCCUAACACAUGCAAGUCGAACGAGUGGCGGACGGGUGAGUAAUGUCUGGGCACCUGCCUGAUGGCGGGGGCUAACUACUGUAAACGGUAGCUAAUACCGCAUACCAUCAGAUGUGCCCACAUGGGAUUAGCUAGUUGGUGGGGUAACGGCGCACCAAGGGGACGAUCCCUAGCUGGUCUGAGAGGAUGACAAGCCACACUGGAACUGAGACACGGUCCAGACUCCUACGGGAGGCAGCAGUGGGGAAUAUUGCACAAUGGGCGCAAGCCUGAUGCAGCCAUGCCGCGUGUAUGAAGAAGGCCUUCGGGUGGUAAAGUACUUUCGGCGGAGAGGCGUUACCCGCAGAAGAAGCAACGGCUAACUACGUGCCAGCAGCCGCGGUAAUAA